UAGUUUGCAGCUGGUCUUAAACCACAACAGAAAUUAUAUAAGUAUUUUCAGCUGCUGUUUCUGUGCUUUUGUUGAUGGAAAGACUCCUGAUUACAGUGUUUGAUGGGUGCUCUUACAAUGCUCUGAUGGCCAUCUACAGUACUUUAGGGCAGACAAGGUUAUAGAGGGAUAACUCAUGUUUUCUAAAUGCAUUUUUUGAACAUAAGGAAUAUUCAUGGCAAAACGACUCAUGUCUGCCUAGUGAGACACUUUUCAGUGAAUUGCUUUCAGAACCUUAUUACAUGCAGUUGUAUGUGGCAUCAAAGCAGCCUCUUUUUGAGUGUAUGUUUUGAUGCAGUGCAAAAGGUUACUUUAUAAAACAUCUAACACAUGAUGUUUCAUUUAUUCAAGCAAAUAUCUAGAUAAUAUCAUAUGAACUUAAUGGAAAGGAUUUAGUAUGCUGUUAGUAACAAAAAUUCUCUAGUAGUAAUAACAGGAUAACCAGUCAUUAUAAAGGAACUAAGCUUAUCUGUUGGACUUGACCCCAUCCUGGGGACAUUUCCCCAUAUCUAAAGGAAUCUAUGUCUGACUUGGGUUCUCCAUGAGUUGAGUUCACUUCACUUCACUGAUUCUUAUCACUUUGAUUCUUGUUUUAUUCAUCUCUAGUUACAGGCAUAGGAAAACUUUUUAAGGCCAGCUCGUUGGGCAGCGAAGGGCUUUUGAUGAGUUAAAAAUGGUGUUUCAGAUAGAGGUGCGAUUAUAUUUCCUUAAGGAAGAUUGCAGGAACAAAUGAAGCAAGUACAUUUUUUAGACCACGGUACAAAGGAAAUUCUAUAGUAAAAUGAAUUAUUUCUAUGUAGAUGAGAGGGAAGUGACAGAUGAAUAUAGAGGAUAAAUGAACAAGUUUUUAAUGUGCAAUAUUGAUUUCUUUUUCAGAAAAUUAAAUAGCUAGUCCAUUCUUUUUUUUUUUUUUUUUUGAAAGAGGGUAAGAAUGUACAAUAAGCUAUCAGUAUUAAAACUAGUUGCUGGCACUUUAUUGAAAUAUAAUGCUGAAAUGCAUAAUGGACUUGUGUUUCAGAUGCUAUACUCAGUUUUGUAAAUAAUAGAUCUGCUGUUUUGUUUAGUGUUGCUUAUGCAUCUUCUUUGUGGUGUAUUGUCAAGCAACCUUUUUGACUGUUUAGGAUAUUUCCAUUUUCGAUUUCAUUAAUGUUCAAUGCAUGAAAUAUUCCCCAUAAAGACUUUCCUAAGUGUAGUAGAGACAGCAAAAGGGGUUGUGGCAAUCUGUAGGAUGGACUCAGCUCAGACAACUUUAUAACAGCUACAGAUCAAGUUUUCAUUGUGAGGCCACCUAUUAAAUUUAUAAACGCAUGAGGAGUUCAAAGAAAAAAAAUCUCUAAGAUUAAAUACCCAGAGAUAUUUUAGUCAAAUUGGUGUACCUGUUAUCUCUUCCAGGUGUUGCAUUGAAGAGCUUUUGCUUCUGUGUUCUGCAAUUAAGCUAGUAAGGCAGGAAAUAAAUGAACAUAAAGCAAAGUGGAUUUUCAGAUGUUCUUUAUUUUUAGACUGAAAAAAUUUCUGAUGAAGAUUGUGACAUUUUCAUUAAGUUUGUCAUGAAGUUGGUUUUCCUAACAUUUGAGCUCAGUUUUAUUUUUUUCAGGCCACUGGACAAAUCAAACCAGUGAAAAAACAUCGUAUUUUUUUACCAAAUAAAACAUUUUUGAAAAUUUUGAUGGCAUGUAUUCAUUUAUCAUAAUUAAAUGCAAAUGUACUUGUACAAAGACUCUAAGUAAAAAGAAAGGAGCAUCUGACUAUUUUCUGAUACAUCUGAUUAUAUAUUUUCUAGCAUAGGAAAUACUUGACAUUUUCAAAAUGCCAUCCAUAUCUUGCUUCAAAUCCACACUGGCAAGUUUCUGUGAUCACUUGAAUGUGUAUUUUUCUGGUUACAUCUGUAAUCACAAAAUCAUAGAAUGGUUUGAGUUGGAAGGGUCCUUAAAGAUCACCUAGUCCAAUCCCUCUGCCAUGUGCAGGAGCACCUUCCACUAGCUCACAUCACUCAAAGCCCCAUCCAACCUGGUCUUGACCAAUUCCAGGGAUGGGGCAUGCACACCUUCUCUGGACAACCUGUUCCUGUGCAUCACUACCCCCUGAGUAAAGCAUUUCUUCUUAAUAUCUCUUCUAUUUUAAGUUAAAAUUGUUCCUCCUUCUCUGAUCACUAUCUGCCCAUGUAAAAAGUCACUCUCACAGCAAACUCAGGUGAGCACAUCUGGAACACACGUGAGUCUUCUAAUGAGUAACAUGAAACCCUGAAUUUUCAAUCACAACAUGUUUGUUAUAAAUGCCAAAAAAUUCUGAAUGUCAUACCUUGGAGCAGCCAGCCAUUCAUGGGGUUAGGCUUUUCACCUGCUGGUUAUCUCACAGCCUGCUUGAGAACAGCUCUCACCCAGGGCAUGGAGGGUGCAGAUGGUGAUGCUCUUGACAACUGACUUGUGUAGAAAGAAAAAACCUUAACACCGCACCUGGGUGAUGUAUGUGGAAAGUCAGAUUCUCAGUGUGUCUAUCAGUUCUCAACUUUUUAUGUGGUAAGUAGGAUUCUUAAGCCAUUGUGGUCCCUGAUUGAUUCUUUUUACUAUAUGUUGCAUGCAGUUGUAAGAAAAUAAGCCUAAAUAAUAACAUUAAAAGCUUACAAAAUUAAAAGGUUACUUAUUUAUCAGUACUUCAUGUCCUGGCACCAGCACCCUCAAUUCGAAGACCAUUUUUCUGUGAUUUCAGAAAUGUUCUUUAUACCAGAAGGGCUAAGUUGCUUUCCCCAUACUGUAUGUAUUUAAAACAAAAGUAAAUAUCAUAGCAAAAAUCUUUGCAUGAGAUGAUUAAAUAAGUAUCUGCUGUAAUAAUUGUUUGUUAAAGAUAAAAUAGGAGGUCAGCAGACCUCUUUGACAUCAGGGAAGUAGUUAAAAGAAGUUGGAGGAUGUGUUGGUGCUAAGCGGUACAUGUACAAAGGCUGGCCCACUGCAAUUUUAAACUGUAGAAAAAGACUAAAAUUUAUGACUCAUGGAAGGAUUGAUGGAAGACCUUAUGCAAAAAUAUUACUGAUGAGAAAAAAGAGCUGGGAUAGACUGCAACAGCUAAAUAUACUUUGGCAGUUGAAGCAUGCAAAUAUAUAAUAAGACAAUCAAGAGGAGAAAAUGAUGUAUUCCUAGCUUUUGGACUUUAUUCCAUAAAAACAAGAAAAAAACCAAUACUUUAAAAACAGAGGAAAUACAAAGGACUAUUCUAUCCAUCAGCACUAUAAGGUAACAUUUAUAAAUAUAUAAUACAGAAAGAAAAUGAAAGAGUAGCUUUUACAAACUAUACUUUACUGAUGGAUUUUCAAAGUCUGAGGAAGCACAGUAAGAAUCACCACAGUUUGUGGUUACUCUGGCACUUUUUUGAAAUAUUCAGAUGCCAGCUUGAACUCCCCCGGCUAUACUUCAGCCGGGGCAGCAUUUACAUUCUCCUCAUCUACCUUUUACUUGAGUUUCUUUUGAAGAAUUAUCCUUUUCUUUCCUGUCUGAAAACCAGCCCUGCAAUGUUGCAAGAAUGAAAUGGAUGUCGUGGACUCUUGACCUCAAGGGUCAGAUCCCUUCAGAGGUGGCUGAGACGAUCCAUACACAUUAAGCAAAAAAUUCCAGCUGGAGUGAACUCAGAGCAUUGGGGUGCUUAUUCAUGGUGUUAAAUUGCUCUGUGUGGAUGCCUACAAAGCGGAACAUUCCUCACUGCCUGCACAAGUAAAGCAGGAGCUUCACUUGGCACGAAUGAGUUUUUAAGAGCAGAGAAGCUACUGUCGUAUUCAAUUGGACUCAGCCUGUCUCCACUGCUAUACCAGGGAUGUGAAGUAGCUGCCACUUGGACUGGCUGUGUUGGGACUGAAUCAGAAGAGGAUUGAUUUAGAUACAAGUGGCCCAGCAGGAGCAAGGAGAUGAGGUGCUCUAACUCUUCCAGAGAACAGAAUUAACAUGG